rnacentral:sRNA from 1 species
GGGCAUCGAGGAUUAUCUCCUAAGCGCGGUGUACAUACCACUUGUUGCCUCGGCGGAUCAGCCCGCUCCCGGUAAAACGGGACGGCCCGCCAGAGGACCCCUAAACUCUGUUUCUAUAUGUAACUUCUGAGUAAAACCAUAAAUAAAUCAAAACUUUCAACAACGGAUCUCUUGGUUCUGGCAUCGAUGAAGAACGCAGCAAAAUGCGAUAAGUAAUGUGAAUUGCAGAAUUCAGUGAAUCAUCGAAUCUUUGAACGCACAUUGCGCCCGCCAGUAUUCUGGCGGGCAUGCCUGUUCGAGCGUCAUUUCAACCCUCAAGCACAGCUUGGUGUUGGGACUCGCGUUAAUUCGCGUUCCCCAAAUUGAUUGGCGGUCACGUCGAGCUUCCAUAGCGUAGUAGUAAAACCCUCGUUACUGGUAAUCGUCGCGGCCACGCCGUUAAACCCCAACUUCUGAAUGUUGACCUCGGAUCAGGUAGGAAUACCCGCUGAACUUAAGCAUAUCAAUAGACGGAGGAAAU